rnacentral:tRNA from 1 species
GCCACCUUAGCUCAGUUGGUAGAGCGCCUCACUUGUAAUGAGGAUGUCGUCAGUUCGACUCUGACAGGUGGCUCCA